rnacentral:rRNA from 1 species
CCUACGGGAGGCAGCAGUGAGGAAUAUUGGUCAAUGGCCGGGAGGCUGAACCAGCCAAGUCGCGUGAGGGAAGAAGGCCCUACGGGUUGUAAACCUCUUUUGUCAGGGAGCAAGGUGCAGGUCGGGACCUGCUGUGGGAGUACCUGAAGAAAAAGCAUAGGCUAACUCCGUGCCAGCAGACGCGGUAAUACGGAGGAUGCGAGCGUUAUCCGGAUUUAUUGGGUUUAAGGGGUGCGCAGGCGGAGGCACAAGUCAGCGGUAAAAUCGCGGGGCUCAACCCCGCUCCGCCGUUGAAACUGUGUGCCUUGAGUGCGCGAAGGGUAGGCGGAAUGCGUGGUGUAGCGGUGAAAUGCAUAGAGAUCACGCAGAACUCCGAUCGCGAAGGCAGCCUACCGGCGCGCAACUGACGCUCAUGCACGAAAGCGUGGGUAUCGAACAGGAUUAGAUACCCGUGUAGUC